UAGGGGUUCGAUCAUGGGCUCAGAACGUACGCUGGCGGCACGCCUAACACAUGCAAAGCCGAACGCAGUAGCAAUACUGAGUGGCAGACGGGUGAGUAUAAUGUGGGAAUCUGCCUUUUGGUUUGGAAUAACACGGGGAAACUUGUGCUAAUACCGAAUAAGCCCUUACGGGGAAAGUUUUAACGCCGAAAGAUGAGCCCGCACUUGAUUAGCUAGUUGGUAAGGUAAAAGCUUACCAAGGCAACGAUCAAUAGCUGUUCUUAGAGGAAGACCAGCCACAUUGGGACUGAGACACGGCCCAGACUCCUACGGGAGGCAGCGGUGGGGAAUCUUGCACGGUGAAGAAACCCUGAUGCAGCGAUGCCGCGUGAGUGAAGAAGGCCUUUGGGUUGUAAAACUCUUUCGUCGGGGAAGAAAAUGACUGUACCCGAAUAAGAAGGUCCGGCUAACUUCGUGCCAGCAGCCGCGGUAAUACA
rnacentral:rRNA from 1 species